CUACUACACGUGAACCAUUUCCUUUAACAGUUUUAAUUAUAUAGUUGUCCCUAUACCCCGGCCGGUAUGAGCGUCAAGACAUUAUAACCUCAUACUUCGUCCGGUAUUAAGGUGAAGUGGGCUGUCCUCAUACCCCGUCCGGUAUGAGCGCCAAAUGACCAAGUCUCCAUACCCCGUCCAGUAUGGAACAACGUUCACAGUAGGGUUUCCUAUGAGCCCAGUUUGUCUACCAUC
rnacentral:lncRNA from 1 species